UACGGAGGGUGCAAGCGUUAGUCGGAAUUACUGGGCGUAAAGGGUGCGUAGGUGGGAAUACAAGUCGAAUGUGAAAUUCCGGGGCUUAACCUCGGAGCUGCAUUCGAAACUGUAUUUCUAGUCGGAUGGCGGAGAAAAUGGAAUUCCACGUGUAGCGGUGAAAUGCGUAGAUAUGUGGAAGAACACCUGUGGCGAAAGCGGUUUUCUAGCCUACCCGAGACACUGAGGCACGAAAGUAAGGGGAGCAAACAGG
rnacentral:rRNA from 1 species